rnacentral:rRNA from 1 species
GAUGAACGCUGGCGGCGUGCCUAAUACAUGCAAGUCGAGCGAACAGACGAGGAGCUUGCUCCUCUGACGUUAGCGGCGGACGGGUGAGUAACACGUGGAUAACCUACCUAUAAGACUGGGAUAACUUCGGGAAACCGGAGCUAAUACCGGAUAAUAUAUUGAACCGCAUGGUUCAAUAGUGAAAGACGGUUUUGCUGUCACUUAUAGAUGGAUCCGCGCUGCAUUAGCUAGUUGGUAAGGUAACGGCUUACCAAGGCAACGAUGCGUAGCCGACCUGAGAGGGUGAUCGGCCACACUGGAACUGAGACACGGUCCAGACUCCUACGGGAGGCAGCAGUAGGGAAUCUUCCGCAAUGGGCGAAAGCUUGACGGAGCAACGCCGCGUGAGUGAUGAAGGUCUUCGGAUCGUAAAACUCUGUUAUUAGGGAAGAACAAAUGUGUAAGUAACUAUGCACGUCUUGACGGUACCUAAUCAGAAAACCACGGCUAACUACGU